GUAUUGCGUUAGGGAGUGAAGCGGCAUCCUUUUAUGGAAUGAAAUGGAAUAAAAGAUAGAGCGAAAAGCCCGACCCGAA
rnacentral:sRNA from 1 species